rnacentral:rRNA from 1 species
AUUGAACGCUGGCGGCAGGCCUAACACAUGCAAGUCGAACGAUUGGCGGACGGGUGAGUAAUGUCUUGGAAACUGCCCGAUGGUGGGGGUUAUCUACUGGAAACGGUAGCUAAUACCCCAUCCCAUUGGCUGUGCCCAGAUGGGAUUCGCUAGGAGGUGGGGUAACGGCUCACCUAGGUGACGAGCCCUAGCUGGUCUGAGAGGAUGACCAGCCACACUGGAACUGAGACACGGUCCAGACUCCUACGGGAGGCAGCAGUGGGGAAUAUUGCACAAUGGGCGCAAGCCUGAUGCAGCCAUGCCGCGUGUAUGAAGAAGGCCUUCGGGUUGUAAAGUACUUUCAGCGAGGAGGCGUUACUCGCAGAAGAAGCACCGGCUAACUCCGUGCCAGCAGCCGCGGUAAUAC